UGGCGCACGGGUGAGUAACGCGUGGGAACCUGCCCCUGGGUACGGGACAACGUCUGGAAACGGGCGCUAAUACCGUAUACGUCCUUCGGGAGAAAGAUUUAUCGCCCUGGGAGGGGCCCGCGUCCGAUUAGCUUGUCGGUGGGGUAAUGGCCUACCAAGGCGACGAUCGGUAGCUGGUCUGAGAGGAUGAUCAGCCACACUGGGACUGAGACACGGCCCAGACUCCUGCGGGAGGCAGCAGUGGGGAAUAUUGGACAAUGGGGGCAACCCUGAUCCAGCAAUGCCGCGUGUGUGAUGAAGGCCUUAGGGUUGUAAAGCACUUUCACUGGUGAAGAUGAUGACGGUAUCCAGAGAAGAAGCCCCGGCUAACUCCGUGCCAGCAGCCGCGGUAAUACGGAGGGGGCAAGCGUGGUUCGGAAUUACUGGGCGUAAAGGGCGUGCAGGCUGUGAUUUAAGUUGGGCGUGAAAGCCCGGGGCUCAACCCC
rnacentral:rRNA from 1 species